GUGUUUGCUGGUACGGUUAUGAUGUGCACAUAUCUUUUUAGUAAUUUCUCAGCGAAGCAUGCACUUACUGACAUUUUCAGAACACCCUGAUGCGAUGCCGUCCGGCGGUCCAAGCUACGGCAGCUACUGCUGUGUGUCGUGGUGCUUCAACAAUGGCAGAACCCACAAAAAGCCAGGGACGAGUUUCUUCCGCAUACCACGGGACGGCAGGUGUGUUAAAUCUUUUGUAUGGUUUGUAUGUCUUCAAGCUUACUGUUCGUACUUGCUCAGUGCGGGUAACAAUAAAAGUUCACUAUUCAAGCACUUCCCGUUUCAGCUGAUAGUUCAUUGCCAAUGCAGGCUGAAAGCAUGGAUGCAGUAUGCUGGUCGAGAUGAUCUGCUGAGUAAGCCGGCUAGCCUGUUGUACGCAACGUACAGGGUUUGUAGCGACCACUUUACUGCUCAAAGUUUCAUGGAUCCUGGGCACACAAGGCUUACGAGAACGGCUGUUCCCGGUGUGUAACCAGUUGCACCAUGUUCUCUGAGCGUCGCUUCAACUAGUGCCUGCGACAGGACUGCAGAAGCUGCACUGCAAGGUGUGAAUGAGCUUGAGUUUGUGUUAUUUUAAGCCUAUUACUGAAAAAUUGUCAUUGUUUCAUUUCUUCAGGACCUGCGGUAGAGGUUUCAAAAAGCGGCUCCCACACAUUGAGGUGCCCCGAUGAGCAGGGUGUCAGCUCCCUUGUAGCUGGUGAAGGAGUUCCUGCUGACUUCGUCUUGCUGGAGGAAACCUUGGCCAGUCGCUCAGUUGUCACAAGAGGAACUUGUGUGACCGGCUGCGCGCAAGAUUCUUCCGACAGCAGUGUCCGAGGCACUGAACAAGCUUCGCAAGACUCUACUGAAGACGUGUCCGCCAACAGCUCCACGACUGAAUGCCCUACAGCAAAUGUGCUUUCCUGUGUGCCAGCGACAAGGUCUCCAUCAAAGAAGUACAGCCAAACUAUUCAACGUCUGCAAGCCAAAGUAGCAGCACAGCGAAAAACUAUCAAAAGACUGCGGAGACAGCCUCACCAAGCACCGUCAUCGACUUCAAAGGCCCUUGGCGUUAUCCGACCGCACGUCACCGAGGAGGUUUUUAAACUUCUUUCUGCACAUGUUCGCUUGAUGCCCAGAGGCAAGGGCAAGCGGUUUCCUGUGUGGUUCAAGAAAUUCGCUCUUCACUUAAACUUCCGUGGUCCACGAGCAUGCGAAUUUCUGGCUCCAUAUUUUUCUUUGCCCUCCCGGCGUUCAUUAAGGAGGUGGCUAGCUAAUGUAAAGAUGACACCGGGCACAAUUCCAGGAAUCAUUUCUUCCAUUGCAACAAAUACGCAAGCUUGGAAUGAGCGGGACCGAGUGUGUGCUUUAAUUUUUCAUGAAA